rnacentral:rRNA from 1 species
AACACAUGCAAGUCGAACGAGCGAGAGAUGAAACCUGGUGAUUCUUAAGCGAGUGGCGGACGGGUGAGUAACGCGUGGGUAACCUGCCUUACAGAGGGGGAUAACAGUCUGAAAAGACUGCUAAUACCGCAUAAGCACACAGUACCGCAUGGUACAGGGUGAAAAGAUUUAUCACUGUAAGAUGGACCCGCGUCUGAUUAGCCAGUUGGCAGGGUAACGGCCUACCAAAGCGACGAUCAGUAGCCGACCUGAGAGGGUGAUCGGCCACAUUGGGACUGAGACACGGCCCAAACUCCUACGGGAGGCAGCAGUGGGGGAUAUUGCACAAUGGAGGAAACUCUGAUGCAGCGACGCCGCGUGAGUGAAGAAGUAUUUCGGUAUGUAAAGCUCUAUCAGCAGGGAAGAUAAUGACAGUACCUGACCAAGAAGCCCCGGCUAACUACGUGCCAGCAGCCGCGGUAAUACGUAGGGGGCAAGCGUUAUCCGGAUUUACUGGGUGUAAAGGGAGCGUAGACGGAAUGUCAAGUCUGAAGUGAAAUCCCCGGGCUUAACCCGGGAACUGCUUUGGAAACUGGUAUUCU